rnacentral:rRNA from 1 species
AGAAUGCAAGUCGAACGAGAGAAUUGCUAGCUUGCUAAUAAUUCUCUAGUGGCGCACGGGUGAGUAACACGUGAGUAACCUGCCCCCGAGAGCGGGAUAGCCCUGGGAAACUGGGAUUAAUACCGCAUAGUAUCGAAAGAUUAAAGCAGCAAUGCGCUUGGGGAUGGGCUCGCGGCCUACUAGUUAGUUGGUGAGGUAACGGCUCACCAAGGCGAUGACGGGUAGCCGGUCUGAGAGGAUGUCCGGCCACACUGGAACUGAGACACGGUCCAGACACCUACGGGUGGCAGCAGUCGAGAAUCAUUCACAAUGGGGGAAACCCUGAUGGUGCGACGCCGCGUGGGGGAAUGAAGGUCUUCGGAUUGUAAACCCCUGUCAUGUGGGAGCAAAUUAAAAAGAUAGUACCACAAGAGGAAGAGACGGCUAACUCUGUGCCAGCAGCCGCGGUAAUACAGAGGUCUCAAGCGUUGUUCGGAAUCACUGGGCGUAAAGCGUGCGUAGGCUGUUUCGUAAGUCGUGUGUGAAAGGCGCGGGCUCAACCCGCGGACGGCACAUGAUACUGCGAGACUAGAGUAAUGGAGGGGGAACCGGAAUUCUCGGUGUAGCAGUGAAAUGCGUAGAUAUCGAGAGGAACACUCGUGGCGAAGGCGGGUUCCUGGACAUUAACUGACGCUGAGGCACGAAGGCCAGGGGAGCGAAAGGGAUUAGAUACCCCUGUAGUCCUGGCAGUAAACGGUGCACGCUUGGUGUGCGGGGAAUCGACCCCCUGCGUGCCGGAGCUAACGCGUUAAGCGUGCCGCCUGGGGAGUACGGUCGCAAGAUUAAAACUCAAAGAAAUUGACGGGGACCCGCACAAGCGGUGGAGUAUGUGGCUUAAUUCGAUGCAACGCGAAGAACCUUACCUGGGCUUGACAUGUAAUGAACAACAUGUGAAA